GACGAACGCUGGCGGCGUGCCUAACACAUGCAAGUCGAGCGGGGAGGAGGAAGCUUGCUUCCGAAUCCUAGCGGCGGACGGGUGAGUAACGCGUGAGCAACCUGCCUUGAACUGGGGGAUAACGCAUCGAAAGAUGUGCUAAUACCGCGUAAGACCACAGUACCGCAUGGUACAGAGGUCAAAGGAGCAAUCCGGUUUAAGAUGGGCUCGCGUCCGAUUAGCUAGUUGGUGAGGUAACGGCUCACCAAGUCGACGAUCAGUAGCCGAACUGAGAGGUUGAUCGGCCGCAUUGGGACUGAGACACGGCCCAGACUCCUACGGGAGGCAGCAGUGGGGAAUAUUGCGCAAUGGGGGAAACCCUGACGCAGCAACGCCGCGUGCAGGAAGAAGGUCUUCGGAUUGUAAACUGUUGUCGCAAGGGAAGAAGACAGUGACGGUACCUUGUGAGAAAGUCACGGCUAACUACGUGCCAGCAGCCG
rnacentral:rRNA from 1 species